CAACUGCUUCCUUUAAACGCGUUUUGGUUUUAAUUAUAAGGGAGUCUAUAUGGAUUGAUUAAAAACAAAGUAAUAACAAAAUAAAACCAACUUUAAAUUAGUCACACUAUGCUUCAUGUUUUGUUUAAGGGGCUGGAGAGAUGACUCAGUGGUUUGAAGCACUUGGUGCUCUUGUAAAGGACCUGGGCUUGAUUCCCAGUGUUCACAUGGUUCACAAUCACCCAUAACUCCAGUUCCAAGUACUCUCUUCUGACCUCCACAGGGACCAAGAACAUACAUGGCACCAACAUCCAUGCAGGCAGAAUAUUCACACACAUAAAAUAAAUCUUUUAAUCUUCCAAUUCAUUUCAGAUGUCUCUUGAAGUAACAUGUCAUCCAGAGUCCACUCCCCAUUGGAUGAGUCAUUCACUGGUCUUCCAACAAAACAGAUGGUGAGCAGUGGAGAAGUCAGGGAAAGUGAAGAAAAUGAAAGAGGGAGAAAAAUGGUGUUUCUCACCAAACCCAUGAUAGACCCAGAAGUCAUCCAGCGUCUAAAAUCUUGGAAUAACUCCAUGGAUCAUGAAACCAAGGAAGACUGUGGGAGAAAGAGCAUAUGUCAAUGUAGAAUUUGGCCUCACAAGCUAGAAGACAAAGUGCUGGUCAGGACAUAGAGACUGAUAAUAAAAAUUCCUACUUUUAAUUUUUUAAAGCAGAUUAUGCGUUAUGUUUUCUGAAAUGACUUGCCAGAUAAUGUUUCAGGAGGAAGUUUGAAUAAAAUAUUCCA
rnacentral:lncRNA from 1 species